UACGUAGGGGGCAAGCGUUGUCCGGAAUCAUUGGGCGUAAAGAGCGUGUAGGCGGCUCGAUAAGUCUGCUGUGAAAGUCCAGGGCUCAACCCUGGAAGGCCGGUGGAAACUGUCGGGCUAGAGUCCGGAAGAGGCGAGUGGAAUUCCCGGUGUAGCGGUGAAAUGCGCAGAUAUCGGGAGGAACACCAAUGGCGAAGGCAGCUCGCUGGGACGGUACUGACGCUGAGACGCGAAAGCGUGGGGAGAAAACAGG
rnacentral:rRNA from 1 species